rnacentral:lncRNA from 1 species
AAACAAUUAAAAGUGGCCACAUGAAAGAUUUCAUCUUAUGUACUCAAACUAAUUCACUUGCACCAAAGUUCCACACCUAAUAUCACCUGCCUUUUGUCAUCUUUGUCCACUCGAUAAAAUUUAUUGAGUGCAUCUAAAAUAUAUUCCCUCAAAGAAUGCAAAAUAUAUUUCUUUCUCCUCAAGAUUUCUUUCUCAGGUUCUCACACUAUAUAAAAGACACAUACACAACAAAAGAGAGGGGGAAGAAGAAAUAUAGAGCACCAAAGAAGAAUAGAGUAGAAGCCCCAAAAUCCUCUUCUUCCCCCAUUGCAAUCCGCUGAAACCAACCAAGAAAACACCUAUGUUUCUCACACCAAAACCAGCUCCUUUCUUCACCUAAACAUCACCCAAAAGCUAACAUGUAGCUACCACAAAAAUCAGCUCAAACACAAUCCUAAAAUUAGCAACAAUGAGCUGAAAAAUAGUCACGAAAAUCAGCCAAAAACCAGCUCUCCUCACCUUAAAACAAUCCCAAAGAAAAUAGUUAAAACCACCUUUGAACUUCAGCAAAAUCCAGCCAAAAAAUCCACCAAAAAUAGCCAGUAAACGCUGCUAAACCAAUAGCAAAACGACCCAGAAACAACAGCUCAAACCACUAUCAUUUGAGCCGAACAACCGUCAAAACAACCCAUGUUUCAUACCACAAAUUCCACCUCACAAUAACCAUGAAACCUCAGCCUUAAACAUCCUGCAAAAACCAGUGGAAACAAUUCAUUACAACCCCAUUUUUUGGACUUAAAAUUGUGCCAAAAGUGGAUAUUCGAGCUUGCCGUUGAGGUCUCGAGUGGAUGGUUCCGUCCGAGGUCAUAGGCAAAUUUUCGGUUCAAGAGUUGCAUAAAUCUUCAAGUUGAUGUAGUCUAAGAUGAAAGCUAAUAAAAAAUCCAAUUUUUAUCCCCUUUCUCAAUAGUAUGUUUGCUCUAGUUGCUCUUUGUCAAAUGCUCUGUUUGUUCCUAUGUUCAGAUAAAUAUUUCUUGUUUCGAUUUAUUUAAUUGAUCUGGUAUAUUGAGGCCUCGUUUACAUUAAUAACAUAAAAUUUAGUAGGUAAUCUCUUUAGUUUGAUUAUGUUUAUGAGUUGAAUGCUAAGUAGGCUACCGUUUGAUUUUGCACAUCAAAAUGGACCAUUAGCUAAGAAUAAAUGGGGACGUGAGGUUCAUUUUCAAAGAUCAUAAAUGGGCCAUUUGUUGGGUUUUAUAGAUAAAAUAAUAAUUUUGUGGCUAAAUAAGUUUAGUAUGCUAGAUCCAUUAACCUCAUAUAACUGCCCUCUUAUUAUUCCUUAAAUAAUCUAAACAAUUCAUGAAUAUGCGUAAAAUGCUUUAGGCGCACUUUAAUCCAUUAUCGUGAUUAUGUAUACGUUCGUGUGACAUAAAUAUGAUCCCAAAAAGUAAAUCAAGGUACGCGUUGACACGACUUUGGCCAAACAAUCUUAAUAAAUGAUAAAGUAUUAUUAAUUGUGUACAUGUAUGCGUGACAUAAUUUUUAGCACACUAAGUUAAACAGAUUCACGCAGGUGAUUCGUUUCAAGAUAAUCCCAAAAUGCCAUAAUCAAGUAACUAAAAAGAGGUAAAAGGUAAAAUAUACAUACAAUCUGAAUUAUGUAAUAAUCAAUUAAUUAAGCCAUGUUAUGAUUAUGAAGUGACCGUGCUAGAACCAUGGAACUCGGAAAUGGCUAACACCUUCUCCCGGGUUAACAAAACACCUUGCUCGAUCUUCUGUGUUUCGCAUACUUUAAACAGAGUCAAAACUUUCUUGAUUUGAGAUUUAAAAUAAAUGGUGAUUUGGGACACUUUAAAUAAUUAUUCCAUGUGGCGACUCUUCUAAAUAAAUAAAAUAAUCUCAUUUCCUUAAUAUUACUUAAAUUGGAAAAAUUGCUUUUCCUAAAAAAAGGAGAUGUGACAGUUGUGAGGUUGGAUUACGCCCUCGGCGUCCUCGUCGCUAAAUGAGAUGGAUCCCUCUGGAAUAUAACCUCGAGUUCAUUUUUCUUUUGUGAUAAAAAAUUUGGUGAGUUCUAUCAUUGUCCCUUAUGGAACAUCUACCCUUCCAUUCAUCAUGUUAAUCACACGUUGAGGUUUUUCUUGCUUGAUUUGUUUGUUGGUGUCCCUAAUAUUUAAAUGGUUUUUGGACUGUUCACUUAUCAAUUCCCGAAGAUGCCCAAAGUUGAACAGACGAGUCAUUUGUCUGUGAUAUCUUGUAAGUUUCCCCGAAUAACACAUUUUUGAUGUCCAAGAAUGAAGUUCCAAACUCUAAUUAAAAAAAUGUGAUAACCCGGCUAGUCGUCUCGUGAGUUACCGCUCUGUUUUUCCCAUUUUUGCUUCUUAUUGCUUUGUCUAUUGGUUCUAUAUCUGAUCGGGUUGGUUGACUCGGGUUCAGAAAGGAUUUGAUAAGGUUUGAGACACUUAGUCUCUUUUGAGGAUGCUUGAGUUGGAAAAAGUCAACCGGAUGUUGACUUAUAUGUUAGACGGCUCGGACGUGAGUUCUGAUGUUUCGGAUAGCUUUGGGAGGUGAUUUGGGACUUAGGAGCGUGAUGAAAUGUGUUUUGGAUGUCCGAAGUAGAUUUAGGCUUGAAUUGGCGAAACUGAAUUUUUGGCGUUUUCCGGUUGAUAGAUGAGAUUUUGAUAUAGGGGUUGGAAUUGAAUUCCAAGAGUUGCAGUAGUUCCGUUGUGUCAUUUGGGAUGUGUGUGCGAAAUUUCAGGUCAUUCGGAUGUGGUUUGGUUGGUUUUUUUUUAUCAAAAGCAGAACUCGAAAGAUUUUUGGAAACUAAGGCUUGAAUCCGAUGUGUUUUGGUUGAUUCGAUGUUGUUUGAGGUGUUUUGAAGGUUGGUAUAAGUUUGAAUAAGUUUAUGGGGUAUGUUUAUGUUUUUGGUUAAGGUCCCGGGGCCUCGGGGUGAUUUCGAAUGGUUGACGGAGAAGUUUUGAAUUUUGGUGAAGCUGCAGAUUUGCAGCUUCUGUUUUUCCGCACCUGCGGAUUGGGGACCGCAAGUGCGACGCCGCAGAUGCGGAGAAUUGGUCACAGAAGUGGAGAUAGGAUAGAAAGGCUAUGAAAGCAAAAGCAGUUGGUGAACCACACUUGCGAUGUCACAGGUGCGGCUUGUGCAUCACAGAUGCGGAAAGUGGGACUUAAGUGACGACCGCAGAUGUGGUGGUCUUGACCGCAGAUGCGGGAAUUGGGCCGCAGAUGCGAAAUCCCUAGGCCAGAACAUAUAAAUUAUUUCCUUCACAAUUUUUGAGCUAUUCCACCAUUUUUAAGUCGGCUUUUGGAGCUUUUUUGGACGAUUUUGAAGAAGGAUUUCAAGGGAACUUCAUUGCGGUAAGGAUUUUGGACCUAAAACUCGUUCCUAUAAUAUUAUUUCGCGGAUUAGAGCUAUAAUUAAUGGAAUUUAAGGGUUAAAAUUGGGGAAACUAGGGCUUGGUAUUGGAUACCAAGACUUGAGGAUUUGAGGGACCAUUUGUGGUCGGAUUUUGGUACUUUUGAUAUGUAUGAACUCGUGGGGAGAUGGGGAAUCUAUUAAUGUGAAUUUUAUCGAAUUAUGAGACGUGGGCCCGGGGGUUGGGUGUUGGUAAUUUCGGGAUUUAAGUUGUAAAUUGAUUAUUUUCGCUUAGGCUUCGUUCCCUUAGUAUAUUUUGACGUCGUGAUUCUGAUUUUGGAUAGAUUCAACACGAGUGAAGGCUGAUUUGAGGGGAAGAGGCAUCGCGGGCUAGAGAUUUAACCGUAUUGAGGUGAGUAAUGAUUGUAAAUGAUAUCCUAAGGGUAUGAAACCCCGAAUUGUACAUCGUUGUGCUAUAUUGAGGUGACUCACACGCUUGAUGACGAACGUGGAGUCGUGCACUGUUGGGGAUUGUGACUUAAUCCAUCCCGAAUGACUAUUUUACCGUGUAUUUGAUUGAAAUCUAUUUGUGAACACCAUGUUUUGGGAUGAAUGCCAUAUUUGGGUCUCGUGCCAACUAUUUGAACCCUUAGGGGAUUUUAUUGAUAUUACCUCACUGUUUUGACUUUAUACUUGAACUCAGUCAUGCUAUAUUCCACUGUUUUCAUAACUCAGCCAUGAUUACUCUGUUUUAAUACUUAAAUGAUAUUUUGGGCUGAGAACCAUGUUUUACUGUGGCUUGUGAGGAUUUUGACUGAGUAAGGCUGAGGGCCUAUGUUGUGAGGAAACACUGAUUAUGAUUAUGAGGCCGAGAGCCUGAGAUAUAUACGCCACGAGGUGGCUUUUUGAUAUGAGGCCGAGAGCCUAGUGAUGAUGCCACGAGAUGGCUUGAUAUUAUGCUUGGGCCAUAAGUGGCCCCUCCAGGAGUCUACAUACCCCCAGAGAGCGCGAGUACCCAUUGUGAUGUGCGUUAUGGCUCGAGGGGCUGGUAUAGUUCUGAGAUAUUGCCUGAGGGGCGGAUUUGUUAAUAUUGAGCCUGAGGGGCGAACCUUUAUGUGUUUAUCUUUCGUAAUUGCCUGUCAUUUACCUUCUUAAUUGUUGAAAAGGUUUUUCACAAAGUUUAAGUUGAACUUAAAUGACUCUUACAUAUCCUUACUAAUUUACUGUUUUACUGGCUUUUACUACUUCAUUAUAGCCUGUAAUGUGACUUACGUAUUUUCAUAUCUCUCAGUCGUUUAUUUAUGAUUAUUACUCACUGAGUUGGAGUACUCACUUUACUUCCUGCACCCCGUGUGCAGAUGCAUGCAUUGUUGAUCCUGCUAGCGAGAGUUGAGAGCUCCCGGCAAACUUCGGAGUUCACGAGGUAGCUGCUUGGUGUCUGCAGUCCCGUAUUUCUCCCUCCCUUAUUUCAUUUCUUUUCCCUUAUUAAUGGGUUUGUAAUAGCUUUGUAGACUUUUCAGACUUCUGUUAAAAUUGAUAGAUGCUCGUGACUAGUGACACCUCGGUAUCGGGCUGUAUUAGGUUGUAUUCCGCAAAUUGUUUGUAUUGUCACUGCUUACUUUUUGAUUUAUAUCAUGUUUAAGACUAAACGCUUAUUUUUAAUUGCUUAAAAUGGAAUUGGAAAUGUGUUGGCUGACCUUAUCUUCACGAGAGGCGCCAUCGCAACCGGGUCCGAAUUUAUGAUCGUGACAAAAAAGAAGAAGGUUGUUCGGGCACAAAGACAGUCGGGGUUAAGUUUUAACAUAAUGCACACAUCAACUAGUAACUCAAAAUCCAUCCUCUCGUUUUCCAAUUAAGAAGCAAGCAUUCAAAACUCAAUCCAAGUGUCAAUUCAAGCUCAAGUUUCAGAAAUCAAUCCUCAAAUUCAAGGCACCUACCUUUAAAGAGGGGCAUGCAACGAGCACUCUUUUUUUUAAUCAUAUUUGAAGCAUCAUUUAGUAUAUAAAUAUUUUUAAGUGUAAUCUACAUAUUUUAUAAUUUAUUUUACUUUUUAUAGGUUUUAUUUAAGAAAAUUAAAAAUGAUAAAAAGGAGUCACAUUUCUAAAUAAGGUUUACCCUCAUUUAAAAAGAAAGAAAAGUUUUCAAAAAAUAUAUGUUUUUAAUCUAGUUUAGUUUAACUUUUAGAGAUGGAGGUUUUAAUAAGAAAAUUUUGAGUGAUUAGUAUGUUAUAUUGCUAUUCUAGUUUAGUUGGAGCAAUAUUUUUAAUUUUAUCAGCAAAAAAAAUUUCAAAAUCAUAAAAAAAAAAGAACCAAUUAAAAGUGGCUAUAUGGAAGAUUUCAUCCUAUGUACUCUAACUAAUUCACCUGCACCAAAGUUCCCCACCCAACGUCACCUAUCUUUUGGCAUUUUUCUCCAUCCGAUAAAAUUUGUUAAGUGCACCUAAAAUAUAUUCCCUCAGAGAAUGCCAAAAUAUUUUUCUUUCUCCCUAAGAAUUCUUUCUUAGGUUCUCACACUAUAUAAUAGACACACACAACACAAAAGAAAGGGGGGUGGAGAAUUAUAGAGCACACAAAAAAAAAAGAAUAGAGUAGCAGUCCCAAAAUCCUCUUUUUCCUGCAUUAAAACCCACUAAAAUCAGCCAUAAAAAUACCUUUGUUUCUCACGCCAAAACCAACUCCUUUGUUCACCUAAACAUCACCCAAAAGCUAACCUUUAACCACCACAAAAACUUGCUCAAACACAAUCCCAAAAUUAGCAACAAUGAGCUUAAAAAUAGUCACAAAAAUCAGCCAAAAACCAGCUCUCCCCACCUUAAAACAAUCCCAAAAAGUAUUGCUAAAACCACCUCUGAACUUCAGCAAAAUCCAGCCACGAAAUCCAUUAAAAAUAGCUCGUAAACACUGCUAAAACAACACCAAAAUAACCUAGAAACAACAGCUUAAACUGCUGUCAAUUGUGCCGAACAGCCAUCAAAACAACCCCUGUUUCGUACCCUUUCUCCACCACAAAUUCCACCUCACAACAACUAUGAAAUCUCAACCUUAAACACCUUGCAAAACCUAGCAGAAACAAUUUAAAAUAGCUCUCUUUUUGGAUUUAAAACAGCGUCAACAAUGGAUGUUCGAGCUUGCCGUUGAGGUCUCGAGUCGAUGGUUCCGUCUGAGGUCGUAGGCAAAUUUUCAGUUCAAGAGUUCCAUAAAUCUUUAGUUGUUGUAGUUUAAGCUGAAAGCUAAUAAAAGGUUCAGUUUUUAUCUCUUUUCUCAAUAGUAUAUUUGCUCUAGUUGCUCUUUGUCAAAUGCUCUGUUUAUUCUUGCGUUCAGAUAAAUAUUUUUUAUUUCAAUUUAUUUAAUUGAUGUGGUAUAGUGUCGUCUUGUUUGCAUUAAUAACAUAAAAUUUAGUAGGUAAUCUCUUUUAUUUGAUUAUGUUUAUGAGUUGAAUGCUAAGUAGGUUACUGUUUGGUGUCGCGCAUUAAAAUGGACCAUUACCUAAGAAUAAAUUUGGUCGUGAGGUUCGUUCCCAAAUAUCAUAAAUGGGCCAUUUGUUAGGGUUAUAGAUAAAAUAACAAUUUUGGGGCUAAAUAAGUUUAGCAUGCUAGGUCCAUUAACCUCGUAUAACUGCCCUCUUAUUAGUCCUUAAAUAAUCUAAACAAUUCAUGAAUAUGUGUAGAAUAUUUUAGGUGCGCUUGAUCCAUUUUCGUGAUUAUGUAUACAUUCGUGUGACAUUAUUAUGAUCCUAAAAAUAAAUCAAGGUACGUGUCAGCGCGAUUUUGGCCAAUAUUAAUAAAGUGUUAUUAAUUGUGUACACGUACGCAUGAUAUAAUUUUUAGCACACUAAGUAAAAAGGAUUCACACACACGUAGUUCAUUUCAAGAUAAUCCCAUAACAUCAUAAUCAAGAAAUUAAAAAGAGAUAAAAGGUAAAAUAUACCUAGAAUCUAAAAUACGUAAUAAUCAAUUAAUUAAGCCAAUUUAUGAUUAUGAAGAGACCAUGCUAGAACCACAAAACGCGAAAAUGCCUAACACCUUCUCCCGGAUUAAUAAAGUUUCGCUGACUUUAAACAGAGUCAAAACUUUCUUGAUUUGGGAUUUAAAAUAAAUGGUGACUUGGGACACCUUAAAUAAUUAUUUCAAGUGGCGACUCUUCUAAAUAAAUAAAAUAAUCUCAUUUCAAUAAUGUCACUUAAAUUGGAAAAAAUUCCUUCCCCCCUCCCCCAAAAAAGGAGGUGUGAUAGUUGUGAGGUUGAAUUACGCCAUUGGCAUCCUCAUCGCUGAAUGAGAUGGAUCCCUCUAGAACAUAGCCCCGAUUUCAUCUUUCUCUUGUGAUAAAAACUUUGUUGAGUUUUAUCAUUGGCCUUUGUGGAACAUCUACACAUCCGUUGGUCAAGUUAAUCACAUGUUGAGGUUCUUCUUGCUCGAUUUGUUUGUUGGUGUCCUUAUUUUUGAAAUAGUUUUAUGCCUGUUUACUUAGGAAUUCCCGAAGGUGCCCAUUGUCGAACAUACGAGCUAAUUCAAUUAAAAGUGGCUACAUGAAAGAUUUCAUCCUAUGUACUCUAACUAAUUCACCUGCACCAAAGUUUCCCACCCAAUGUCACCUGCCUUUUGGCAUCUUUCUCCACCCGAUAAAGUUUGUUGAGUGCAUCAAAAAUAUAUUCCCUCAAAGAAUGCCAAAAUAUUUUUCUUUCUCCUUAAGAAUUCUUUCUCACAUUUUCACACUAUAUAAUAGACACAUACAACACAAAAGAGAUGGGGAUAGAGAAUUAUAGAGCACCAAAGAAGAAUAGAAUAACAGUCCCAAAAUCCUCUUCUUCCCCUAUUCAAACCCACUGAAAGUAGCCUUGAAAACACCUCUGUUUCUCACGCCAAAACCUUUUCCUUCUUCACCUAAAAAUCACCUAAAAGAUAACCUUUAACCACCACAAAAACCAGCUCAAACACAAUCCCAAAAUCAGCAACAAUGAGCUGAAAAAAAGUCACAAAAGUUAGCCAAAAACCAGCUCUUCCCACCUUUUAACCGCCCCAAAAAACACAGCUGAAACCACUUCUGAACUCCAGCAAAAUCCAGAUACAAAAUCCACAAAAAAACCCGUAAAUGCUGAAAAAACAGCACCAAAAUGACCUAGAAACAACAACUCAAACCACUGUCAGUUUCGCCGAACAGCCGUCGAAACAACCCUAUUUUGUCCCCUUUCUCCACCAUAAAUUCCACCUCACAACAACCAUGAAACCUCACCCUUAAACACCCUGCAAAA